rnacentral:lncRNA from 1 species
CGAUUACCAAAUUUUACUGAUUAUAAUAUCCAUUCAUCAACUAGUUUCAAUCUGCUGAAUACUAACGGCCAUAUGGUUCUUUCAAUGUGCAUUUGUAAGCAUAGGCAUGCUAAGCUUUUUUCAUUACCAACACUAAAGUAUAAUUACAAAAUAUGAAACCAUAAAUCAAAAAUCACACUUUUCAAAAAAUACUUGUUGUAAACAAGAACAUAAACAAUCGAAAGAUUAUUAAGCAAACGAAAUAAGUGUAAUGGCGUUUGGAGGCGAAUUUGUGAUGAAUUGAAAGGGGAUUGUAGGCGAAAGGAAAUUUGGAAAAGCGCCGAACAUUACAAUCAAAUACAAACCAACUUUCAAGAACAAAAUUCGUACUAUGAUGCCAUUUUAAAAUUUAAUGUAUAGGACUAAGGAAUGACAAGGCACCCUACAGAGUACCUGCAGGUUUUUCAGAGACAUCGUAUAUAAAGCUCCCUUAUUUGCAUCCAGCCCUUACAUGAUAAAUAGAAGAAAGUAAUAAGAAGAUGGUUAAGGAGAUAGAAGAACUAAACCUAGAUUAUAUAAUCGGAUAUAGCUUUUCUACGUUUUUUCUGCAGCGCUUCCCAAACCCUAGAUACAUGCCUAGAUGGAGAUGGAGUUCUUACCAUUUAUAGGCCUACCAAACAAUGGUUUUGACCAAAUUAUUUCCACAGUCUUUCUAUCCUAAUUUCUUACUUCAUUUUAGAUGAUAUAUUCCCCUGUUAUUGCAACAACAAAAAACACUUAUUUUUGUAUUUUAAGAUCAUUUUUUAAGAUCUUAAAAUACAAAAACCCGAUUACCGAAUUUUAUUGAUUAUAAUAUUUAUUAAUCAACUAGUUUCAAUCUGCUGAAUACCAACGGCCAUAUGGUUCUUUCAAUGUGCAUUUGUAAGCAUAGGCACCCCAUGCUAAGCCUUUUUCAUUACCAACACUAAAGUAUAAUUACAAAAUAUGAAAUCAUGAAUCAAAAAUUACUCUUCUCAAAAAAUACUUGUUGUAAACAAGGACAAAAAGAAUCAAAAGAUAAUAAUAAGCAAACGAAAGAAAUGUAAUGGCGUUUGGAGGCGAAUUUGUGACGAAUUGAAAGGGGAUUGUAGGCGAAAGAAAAUUUGGAAAAGCGCCGAACAUCACAAUCAAAUACAAACCAACUUUCAACAACGAAAUUCAUACAAUGAUACCAUUUUAAAAUUUAAUGUAUAGGGCUAAGGAAUGACAAGGCACCCUACAGAGUACCUGCAGGUUUUUCAGAACCAUCAUAUAUAAAGCUCUCCCCUAUUUGCAUCCAACCCUUACAUGAUAUAGAAGAAAGUAAUAAGAAGAUGGUUAAGAAGAUAGAAGAACUAAACCUAGAUUAUAUAAUCGGAUAUGGCUUUUCUACAUUUUUUCGGCUGUGGUACCCAAACCCCAGAUACAUACAUAGAUGGAGAUGAACUUCUUACCAUUUAUAGGCCCAGCAAACAAUGGUUUUGACCAAAUUAUUUUCAUCGUCUUUCUAUCCUAAUUUCUUACUCCAUUUUAGAUGAUAUAUUUUCCCCUGUUAUUGCAACAACAAAAAACACUUAUUUUUGUAUUUUAAGAUCAUUUUUUAAGAUCUUAAAAUACAAAAACCUGAUUACCGAAUUUUAUUGAUUAUAAUAUCCAUUCAUCAAUUAGCUUCAAUCCGUUGAAUACCAACGGCCAUAUGGUUCUUUCAAUGUGCAUUUGUAAGCAUAGGCACCCCAUGCUAAGCCUUUUUCAUUACCAACACUAAAGUAUAAUUACAAAAUAUGAAAUCAUGAAUCAAAAAUUACUCUUCUCAAAAAAUACUUGUUGUAAACAAGGACAAAAAGAAUCAAAAAAUAAUAAUAAGCAAACGAAAGAAAUGUAAUGGCGUUUGGAGGCGAAUUUGUGACGAAUUGAAAGGGGAUUGUAGGCGAGAGAAAAUUUGGCAAAGCGUCGAACAUCACAAUCAAAUACAAACCAACUUUCAAGCACGAAAUCCGUACUAUGAUACCAUUUUAAAAUUUAAUGUAUAGGGCUAUGGAAUGACAAGGCACCCUAUAGAGUACCUGCAAGUUCUUCAUAGCCAUCGUAUAUAAAGCUCUCCCCUAUUUGCAUCAAGCCCUUACAUGAUAUAGAAGAAAGUAAUAAGAAGAUGGUUAAGGAGAUAGAAGAAUUAAACCUAGAUUAUAUAAUCUGAUAUGGCUUUUCUACAUUUUUUCGACUGCGCUUCCCAAACCCUAGAUACAUACAUAGAUGGAGAUGAACUUCUUGCCAUUAAUAGGCCCAGCAAACAAUGGUUUUGACCAAAUUAUUUCCACCGUCUUUCUAUCCUAAUUUCUUACUCCAUUUUAGAUGAUAUAUUCCCUUUUUAUUGCAACAACAAUAAAACACUUAUUUUUGUAUUUUAAGAUCAUUUUUUAAGAUCUUAAAUUCCAAAAACCCGAUUACCGAAUUUUACUGAUUAUAAUAUCCAUUCAUCAACUAGUUUCAAUCUGCUGAAUACCAACGGCCAUAUGGUUCUUUCAAUGUGCAUUUGUAAGCAUAGGCACCUUAUGCUAAGCCUUUUUCAUUACUAACACUAAAGUAUAAUUACAAAAUAUGAAACCAUGAAUCAAAAACCACUCUUUUCAAAAAAUACUUGUUGCAAACAAGGACAAAAAGAAUCGAAAGAUAAUAAUAAGCAAACGAAAGAAAUGUAAUGGCGUUUGGAGGCGAAUUUGUGACGAAUUGAAAGGGGAUUGUAGGCGAAAGAAAAUUUGGCAAAGCGCCGAACAUCACAAUCAAAUACAAACCAACUUUCAAGCACGAAAUCCGUACUAUGAUACCAUUUUAAAAUUUAAUGUAUAGGGCUAAGGAAUGACAAGGCACCCUACAGAAUACCUGCAGGUUUUUCAGAGCCAUCGUAUAUAAAGCUCUCCCCUAUUUGCAUCCAGCCCUUACAUGAUAUAGAAGAAAGUAAUAAGAAGAUGGUUAAGAAGAUAGAAGAACUAAACCUAGAUUAUAUAAUCAGAUAUGGCUUUUCUACAUUUUUUCGGAUGCGCUUCCCAAACCAUAGAUACAUACAUAGAUGGAGAUGAACUUCUUGCCAUUAAUAGGCCCAGCAAACAAUGGUUUUGACCAAAUUAUUUUCACCGUCUUUCUAUCCUAAUUUCUUACUCCAUUUUAGAUGAUAUAUUCCAAUGUUAUUACAACAACAUAAAACACUUAUUUUUGUAUUUUAUGAUCAUUUUUUAAGAUCUUAAAAUACAAAAACCCGAUUACCGGAUUUUAUUAAUUAUAAUAUUCAUUCAUCUACUAGCUUCAAUCUGUUGAAUACCAACGGCCAUAUGGUUCUUUCAAUGUGCAUUUAUAAGCUUAGGCACCCCAUGCUAAGCCUUUUUCAUUACCAACACUAAAAUAUAAUUACAAAAUAUGAAACCAUGAAUCAAAAAUCACUCUUUUCAAAAAAUACUUGUUGUACACAAGGACAUAAAGAAUCGAAAGAUAAUAAUAAGCAAACGAAAGAAAUGUAAUUGUGUUUAGAGGCGAAUUUGUGACGAAUUGAAAGGGGAUUGUAGACGAAAGGAAAUUUGGCAAAACGUCGAACAUCACAAUCAAAUACAAACCAACUUUCAAGCACAAAAUUCGUAGUAUGAUACCAUUUUAAAAUUUAAUGUAUAGGGCUAAGGAAUGACAAGGCACCCUACAGAGUAUCUGCAUGUUCUUCAGAGCCAUCGUAUAUAAAGCUCUCCCCUAUUUGCAUCCAGCCCUUACAUGAUAUAGAAGAAAGUAAUAAGAAGAUGGUCAAGGAGAUAGAAGAAUUAAACCUAGAUUAUAUAAUCGGAUAUGGCUUUUCUACGUUUAUUCUGUUUCGCUUCCCAAACUCCAGAUACAUACAUAGAUGGAGAUGGAGUUCUUACCAUUUAUAUGCCCGGCUAACAAUGGUUUUGACCAAAUUAUUUCCACCGUCUUUCUAUCCUAAUUUAUUACUUCAUUUUAGAUGAUAUAUUCCCUUGUUAUUGCAACAACAAAAAACACUUAUUUUUGUAUUUUAAGAUCAUUUUUUAAGAUCUUAAAAUACAAAAACCCGAUUACCGAAUUUUAUUGAUUAUAAUAUACAUUCAUCAAUUAGCUUCAAUACGCUGAAUACCAACGGCCAUAUGGUUCUUUCAAUUUGAAUUUGUAAGCAUAGGCACCCCAUGCUAAGCCUUUUUCAUUACCAACACUAAAGUAUAAUUACAAAAUAUGAAAUCAUGAAUUAAAAAUCACUCUUUUCAAAAAAUACUUGUUGUAAACAAGGACAAAAAGAAUCGAAAGAUAAUAAUAAGCAAACGAAAGAAAUGUAAUGGCGUUUGGAGGCUAAUUUGUGACGAAUUGAAAGGGGAUUGUAGGUGAAAAGAAAUUUGGCAAAGCUUCGAACAUUACAAUCAAAUACAAACCAACUUUCAAGCACGAAAUCCGUACUAUGAUACCAUUUUAAAAUUUAAUGUAUAGGGCUAAGGAAUGACAAGGCACCCUACAGAAUACCUGCAGGUUUUUCAGAGCCAUCGUAUAUAAAGUUCUCCCCUAUUUGCAUCCAGCCCUUACAAGAUAUAGAAGAAAGUAAUAAGAAGACGGUUAAGAAGAUAGAAGAACUAAACCUAGAUUUUAUAAUCGGAUAUGGCUUUUCUACAUUUUUUCGGCUGCGCUUCCCAAACCCUAGAUACAUACAUAGAUGGAGAUGAACUUCUUGCCAUUUAUAGGCCCAGCAAACAAUGGUUUUGACCAAAUUAUUUUCACCGCCUUUCUAUCCUAAUUUCUUACUCCAUUUUAGAUGAUAUAUUCCCCUUUUAUUGCAACAACAAAAAAACACUUAUUUUUGUAUUUUAAGAUCAUUUUUUAAGAUCUUAAAUUACAAAAACCCGAUUAUCGAAUUUUACUGAUUAUAAUAUCCAUUCAUCAACUAGUUUCAAUCUGUUGAAUACUAACGGCCAUAUGGUUCUUUCAAUGUGCAUUUGUAAGCAUAGGCAUGCUAAACUUUUUUCAUUACCAACACUAAAGUAUAAUUACAAAAUAUGAAACCAUGAAUCAAAAAUCACACUUUUCAAAAAAUACUUGUUGUAAACAAGAACAUAAACAAUCGAAAGAUAAUAAUAAGCAAACGAAAGAAGUGUAAUGGCAUUUGGAGGCGAAUUUGUGAUGAAUUGAAAGGGGAUUGUAGGCGAAAGGAAAUUUGGCAAAGCGCCGAACAUUACAAUCAAAUACAAACCAACUUUCAAGCAUAAAAUUCGUACUAUGAUGAUACCAUUUUAAAAUUUAAUGUAUAGGACUAAAUAAUGACAAGGCACCCUACAGAGUACCUGCAGGUUUUUCAGAGACAUCGUAUAUAAAGCUCCCCUAUUUGCAUCCAGCCCUUACAUGAUAUAUAGAAGAAAGUAAUAAGAAGAAGGUUAAGGAGAUAGAAGAACUAAACCUAGAUUAUAUAAUCGGAUAUAGCUUUUCUACGUUUUUUCUGCAGUGCUUCCCAAACCCUAGAUACAAUCAUAGAUGCAAAUGGAAAUGGAGUUCUUGCCAUUUAUAGGCCCAGUCAACAAUGGUUUUGACCAAAUUAUUUCCGCCGUCUUUCUAUCCUAAUUUCUUACUCCAUUUUAGAUGAUAUAUUCCAAUGUUUUUGCAACAAAAAAAACGCUUAUUUUUGUAUUUUAAGAUCUUAAAAUACAAAAACCUGAUUACCGUAUUUUAUUGAUUAUAAUAUUAACUCAUCAACUAGCUUCAAUCUGCUGAAUACCAACGACCAUAUGGUUCUUUCAAUGUGCAUUUGUAAGCAUAGGCAUGCUAAGCUUUUUUCAUUACCAACACUAAAGUAUAAUUACAAAAUAUGAAACCAUGAAUCAAAAAUCUCUCUUUUCAAAAAAUAAUUGUUGUAAACAAGGACAUAAAGAAUCGAAAGAUAAUAAUAAGCAAACGAAAGAAAUGUAAUGGCGUUUGGAGGUGAAUUUGUGACGAAUUGAAAGGGGAUUGUAGGCGAAAGGAAAUUUGGCAAAGCGCCGAACAUCACAAUCAAAUACAAACCAACUUUCAAGCACGAAAUCCGUACUAUGAUACCAUCUUAAAAUUUAAUGUAUAGGGCUAAGGAAUGACAAGGCACCCUAUAGAGUACCUGCAGGUUUUUUAGAGCCAUCGUAUAUAAAGCUCUCCCCUAUUUGCAUCCAGCCCUUAAAUGAUAGAGAAGAAAGUAAUAAGAAGAUGGUUAAGAAGAUAGAAGAACUACACCUAGAUUAUAUAAUCGGAUUUGAAUUUUCUACGUUUUUUCGGCUGUUCUUCCCAAACCCUAGAUACAUUCAUAAAUGCAGAUGGAAAUGGAAUUCUUGCCAUUUAUAGGCACAGCAAACAAUGUUUUUGACCAAAUUAUUUCCACCGUCAUUCUAUCCUAAUUUCUUACUCCAUUUUAGAUUAUAUAUUCCCCUGUUAUUGCAACAACAAAAAAACCCUUAUUUUUGUAUUUUAAGAUCUGAAAAUAUAAAAACCCGAUUAUCGAAUUUUAUUGAUUAUAAUAUCCAUUCAUCAACUAGUUUCAAUCUGCUGAAUACCAACGGCCAUAUGGUUCUUUCGAUGUGCAUUUGUAAGCAUAGGCACCCCAUGCUAAGCCUUUUUCAUUACCAACACUAAAGUAUAAUUACAAAAUAUGAAAUCAUGAAUCAAAAAUCACACUUUUCAAAAAAUACUUGUUGUAAACAAGGACAUAAAGAAUCGAAAGAUAAUAAUAAGCAAACGAAAGAAAUGUAAUGGCGUUUGGAGGCAAAUUUGUGAAAAAAUGAAAGGGAUUGUAGGCAAAAGGAAAUCUGGCAAAGCACUGAACAUUACAAUCAAAUACAAACCAACUUUCAAGCAUGAAAUCCGUACUAUGAUACCUUUUUAAAAUGGCUUAAAUAUGAAUUAGUACCCUAAACUAUAGGCCAUAUUCCACUUUGGUGAUCCACCUUUCAAUUUUGUCAAUUACAUGAUUAAACUUUCAAUUUUUUCCAAUUGCAACAAAUUGAAUAUGCCACGUCAGAAAUUGCUGACGUGGCUAAUUGUGUGGGGCCUUAAUAAGCUGAUGUGGUAAAAAAAACAAUUUUUUAAUUAUUAAAUAAACAAAUCUGAUUAUGGGUGGGGCAAAAUCGUCAAAACCAAAUUAAAAUAAAAUAAACUUAUAUAUCAGUACCUUUCGUCCCUUCCAUUAUAAUCGAUCGAUCAAGAUAAAAGCCCAAAAUCGCUCGACAAACCCUAGCUCAACUGAAGCGAAGAAUUUUUGAGAAUCAACCAUUUCGGUACUCAAUCGGUUCAACAAUGAAGUAAGUAUGUGAUUUAGCUUUUCUCUGUUGCUCUGUUACUACCCCAAAAGUAAAAAUCUUACUCAGUUCUCCUGAUAGUCCUACUAUCAUCUGGUGUGAUUUAAAAGAUUUAAGGAAAACAAGCGAGUUAGGGUUUCAGUUAUCUACCCCAAAAAUCCCUCACUGAAAAUGGAAAUGACUGGUAUGGAAGAUGAACUGGAGUUGAGCGAGUGUCUUGAUUCGAUGGGUGAGACUCCAAGGUGCUAUUGUGGGUAUAGAGCUCGAAUGAAGAUAUCUUGGACUAAGAGUAAUUCAGGAAGAAGGUUCUUUGGUUGUCCACACUAGAGCAAGGUAUAGUAAUAUAGUCUUGGUUGGCUGAGUUUUACUCUUAUUCUCUAGGUACUAUAAAAUACACUUGUGUUGAAAUUGUAUUUAUGUUUUGAUUUGGUUUUUAUCAACCAUGCAGGACAAAUUGACAAGCAAACACUGCAACUUCUUUUGUUGGUAUGACCAAGAGAUUUGUAAAAGGUCUAAAGAAGUUUUACCUGAGUUGAAACUUAUGAUAAGUGCUCUAAAUUUAGAAAUAGAAAGAAAGAAGUAUGAAAUUGAGAGAGGCACUGAAAAAAUAAAUGAAUUGGAAAAAAGUAAUGAAAAGCUUCAAAUUGAAUGUGCGGAGCAAAGUGAAGAGGUUGGAAGAUUGAGAGAGGUGAUUGAAUUGUUGAGAAGGAAGGAUAAAAUGUGUAGCACUUCUAUUAAAGCCAUAUUAUUAGGCAUGAUAUUUGUAUUCAUGUUAGGACAUCUGUAUGUGAAUGAUAGUGGUGAAUAAUUGUAAUUUAUAGUUUGAAUUAUGUAUAAAAGAACUAGUUUGCAAUGAAUGGUGAAAGUUGGUUUUAACCUAUGAAACCUUUGCAAUAAAUGUAAUUUUUAGAUUGCAAUGAAUGAUUGUAAUUUUUAGAUUUGCAAUGAAUGAGUUUUAUUGAUGAAAAAAGUUAGUUUGAAUUAUGUAUGGUUCAAGUCAAGCUGCAAUGUUAAAGGUGCACAAAGCACUGCUUUUCAUAUUUAUAACACUGAUUUUUUAACAAACUGCUGCAAACAAGCAUUGUUAUUUCCAUUGUUAUAACAAACUACUGUUAUAAAAAACUGAUGUUAUAACAAACUGCUGCAAACAAGCAUAAUAUUAAAAGCAACAGAUGAUAGAUGCAUAAUAUUAAAAGCAACAGAUGCAUAAUAUUAAAAGCAACAAUGUGCACCACUUCCAAAAAUAAUGACUUUAGCAUUAAAGCAAUUUGUUCAACAUGUAUAGACAAAGCCACAUAGCUGUCAUACAUAAUGUGCACCACUUGCAUAAAUUAAACCAAGCUGUCACAGUUUGCCAAAACAUAAUACUCCCUCCGUUCCAAAUUAAUUGCUCAGUUUUGACUUUUUAAAGUCAAAUUGACCAUUUUUAAAAUUAAUCUUUUAACUAUUUUUGCUAAAAUAUAGGUGAAGAGAUUAUAACCAAAAGAAAGUAUAUACAAUUUAUUACUAAUCUCAAUUUUUAUAAUUUUAGAAAUAUAUUUAUAUAUGCUUAAUUAUUAAUUCUAAAAAUAGUCAAUUUAACUUAAAAAGGUCAAAACUGAGCAAUUAAUUUGGGACGGAGGGAGUACUACAUAACUUAGUGGCUGACAUAAUGUGCACCACUUGCCAAAACAUAAACCAAAAACAUAAGCUAGAGUAUUUAGCUCUAUUCAAAUACUACAUAAUAUUAAUUGGUUGAACUCCUAUAAUACUAAUAAUAUCCAUCAUGCAUAACUUGAACUAGAUAUCCACAAAUUUCUCUUUUGCCUUUGCAUCCUGUCUUGUAUUCCUUCCAUUGAUUAGUUGAUUUGCAGAAAUCCAAUUUCUUCCCCUAGAUUGGAAUGUAGAUGGCCUCAUGGCUGACAUGGAUGUUGAACCUUGAGUAUUCUCUUGGCUUUGAUUGUGAGGAUUUUCUUGACUUACAUUAGAACCAGUUGAAAUCUAAAAAGUAUUAAACAAAAACAAUUAGUAAUGUAUGCUUUAAUAAAGUAAGCAUGCUAGACAACAGAGGUAGUAUUUACCCUAGUAUAUUGUGCCCCACUUGAUAUGUAAGACUCCUCACUUGCAGAUACGUAGACACCAAACCCAUCUCUACCUCCACUUCUCCCUUUCCCUCUCCCUCUCCCUGGUGGCCUACCUCUUCCUCUUCCUUGACCUCUAGUGCCUGGGGGCCUACCCCUUCCUCUUCCAGUCCCUGGUGGCCUACCUCUGCCUCUUCCACUUGCUGCAGCUGUAACAUCUCCACUUGUCUCUGCACUACUUGUUGCUCCUCCACCUCUCUCUGCAGUUCACAGAAUUAAACAGAUGCAUGUUAGUUUUCUUUGCAAAUUAAGUAAAAAAAAUUGUAUCUUUGCAAAUUAGUUGUAGUUACCUUUUUCCUUUUGAAGCUUUUGAAAUGAUGUGUUCUUGCAAGUGCUCAUAUUAUGACCAAUCUGAUUGCACCUCCGACAUGUCAUCAAAAUUCCUUUUUCGACAAUCUUCCACUUGCACCUAUCUUAUGUUCCUCAUGUAGAUAUUUAAUCCUUUGUUUUUUUGGCCUUCCAGGAAGCACUUUAAGUUUUGGGGAUAAUAACUUCUCCUUGCCUGAAGGUUCCCACAAAUCUGGUCCAUUUAUACCUUUCAAUGGAAACUGAUAAGAUGCCAAGUAAGCAUCUCUCUUAAGUAUUGCAUAGACAUAUUCAUCUCGUUCCUCCCUUUGCUCAUAAAUGGCAGCAACUGCAUGUCUACAAAGGAUACCAUCAAGAUCUCAAGCUCUACAAGCACAAGUCUUGUUCACCAAACUUACUGUCCUACCUUCAAGUCCACCAUCCCUUUUUACUUCAUACCCCUCAAAACCAUCCCACUUAGCAUCAUACAAGAAACUAUCAUUCUUUGCAUCCUCUAAUUUUUUCCUAAUUCUAGGAGGCAGUACAUCAUCACCUCUCAACAUCAUUAUCUCGUUUCUUAUCAAUCUCUCCAUAAUAUGCUCUCUCAUAUCCUCAAGCAUCUCAAUUAUAGGCUUUUGUCUUGCAGCAACUAUCCAACCAUUGAAUGUUUUUGACAAAUUGUUGGUGGUGAUAUCACACUUGCACAUGUCACUGAAGAAAGCUUUGCACCACUAUUUUGCAUCUUGUUUUGACAACUGCUCAUGUGCCUCUACACUUAACUGUUUCAGUUCUUCCAUUUGAUCCAUGUAAUGCUUCCUAGUUAAACUAUUAGAUAUUUUUGAGAAUGAGGAUUUCAACUCAAAUCCUUUGUUCUUUUUCCGACAGUUUGCGUAGAUGUGUCUAGCACAACAUCUAUGUUCAGCUUGAGGUAUAAUUGUCUUGAUUGCAUUAUCCAAACCCUACACAGAAACAUGAUUGCAUUAGCUAUAUAUAACAAACAUUUAUAAUAUAGUAAAUGCAAAAUAAAAUAAAAUGAAGUACCUUUUGUUGGUAUGUUAUCACUAUGAGACCAUAUCCUCCACCGAGAUAACCUAGAUCAUCCAUUAAAACAUGCAAAAACCAAGUCCAGCUGUAUGUGUUCUCAACCUCUACUACUGCCCAAGCAAUGGGAUACAUUUGAUUAUUUGCAUCCCUCCCAACUGCACAUAACAACUCACCCUUACAUAUUCCUUUGAGGAAACAUCCAUCAAGGCCAAUUAUUGGCCUACAACCUGCCAACAUUCCUCUUUUCAGAGCAUUAAAUCCUAUAUAAAAUCUUUGAAAUCUCCCUGGUUCCUUUGGUGACUGCCUAUCUACUUUGAUUUCAAAUGUUGAUCCUUUGUUAGCCCUCAUCAAUUCCUUCUCAUAGUCCCAUAACUGUCCAUAUAUAUCAUCAAUUGUUGCAUAAGCACGCUUGAGUGCUAUUUCUCUGGCCCUGUAGCACUGACUCAGUGACGCUCUAACUUUUAAAUGCUUCUUCACUUCCCAUUGGAAUUCUGAGUUUCCAAAAUGGACAUGCUUUUAUUUCAUCAUAAUAGUGCUUGGCCAAAAACCUUGCAUUUACUUGUCUAUUUUUCUGUUUAUUUGUGUACUUGCGAACAUUGUUAUACCUUUUAACAGUAAAAGUGUUCUCAUGUUUCAACACACUUUCCCAUAAAUUACAAGGGCAACCCUGUGCACACUUCACUUGUACCUUAUCCCUUGUAUUUUUUGGAAACCAUACAUUAUACUUUUUUUCAAUUGCAUAUUGUUUCACUGCCUCUUUAAAUUCCGUGGUUAGUAAAUUUCAUUCCAACAAAAAAUUCAACAUUUUUAAUGUCAGUCUUUGGAUUAAACUCAAGAUAUUUUCUCUUUCUUAUAUUGGUUUGUUUCGCCUCAUCAUCUUCAUUCUCACUUGUUUCAGGUGUGUGCAGCUCAUCAAAGUCUAAGUCAAUUUCAUCCCAACCUUUAGCUUGUUCUCUUUGCCCACCUUCAUCAACAGGUCCCUGCCCACCUUCAUCAACAGGUCCCUGUCCAAUUUCAUCAACAUCAACAUCAACAUCAUUUCCUCCUUCAUUUCCUUCUUCAUUUUCUUCAUUUGUUUUUCUUCUUAUGUUCCUCUUUUUCCCUCUCUUUUGUUGCUCUCAAAUUUUGCCUAGCAGCAAGUAACUCUUCAUCACUCUCAACUAACCAGUCACAAUUACUACUUAUAUCAGAGUCUGUAUCUCCUACUCCUUCAUAUUCUAUAUCCUUCUCAUUAUCAGUCUGAAGCACAUCAACCUCAAUCUCUUCUACUCCCUCAUUAUUUGAAUGUUCUUCAAUGUUAACAUCUUUUAAAACAUCAACAAAUCCCUCACUGUCAUCAUCUAUGUUCACAUCAGUACUUACUAUUUCAUGUUCAUGGUCUGAGUAUAUCUCAACAACAGGGUUCUUCUUAGCAAUACUCACACAUGUCAAUAACUCCUUUAUCAUAACCUACUGCCCUAGGCACUUCUGCUAAACUUUGUCCAGGGAUAAGAUAAUAUACAUUUUUCACAUUCUUGUUUCCAAGUAUUGUUGAAACAUAAUCAAUAAUCCCAGGCCCAGUUAUAUAAUUAGGAUCAUAUUUAAACAAUUCACUAACAGCGCCUCCAACAUAAUCAACUAUAUCACCAUUAUUUAUUAGUUUACCACCAUAAUGAAAUCUUAAAGUAAUGACAUCCAUUUCUACAUUAAAAAAAUAUAUAAAAAUAUUUAUAUAUAUAUAUAUAUAUAUAUUUAACAAGUACUAAACAUAAAGUAAACAAAUAGGGACCUCACAUGAGUUAGGGAGAUAAAACUAUGGGGAACUAAGAGGGAAUACUACUUUACAGUUAGGAGACUACAUUUUCUUAGCAAUACAAACAUAAUGCCCAAAUAUCACACAUAUUCAAACCAUAAACAUACACUUACUUCGCUGAAACUUCGAAAGUGGGGACCUAAAGUAGGGAGCUUUGUUGUUUGUGCUUAACGCCGACUCAGCAAAUAUUGCACAUGCACGGUCCUUCUUCGCUGGAAUCGUGAUGAAAUCGUGUCGGAAUGGUUGUCUGGUUCACCAAAUUCUUCGCCAAGAAUCGAUGAUUUACAGAAAUGGCUUCGGGUUUUUUUGAGCGAUUUGGGCUUUUGUCUUGAUCGAUCGAUUGAAAUGGCUGAGAUAUUUAGAAAUAAGUUUGUUUUAUUUUAAUUUGAAAUGUUAAUUUGGUUUUAACGAUUUUGCCCCCACCCAUAAUCAAAUUUGUUUAUUUAAUAAUUAAAAAAUUAUUUAUUUUGCCACAUCAGCUUAUUAAGGCCCCACACAAUUAGCCACGUCAGCAAUUUCUGGCAUGGCAUGUUCAAUUUGUACUAUUUUGAAAAAAUGAAAAGUUUAAUCAUCUAAUUGACAAAAUUGAAAGGUGGAUCAUCAAAGUGGAAUAUGGCCUAUAGUUUAGGGUACUAAUUCAUAUUUAAGCCUUUUAAAAUUUAAUGUAUAAGGCUAAGGAAUGACAAGGCACCCUACAGAGUACUUGCAGGUUUUUCAGAGCCAUCGUAUAUAAAGCUCUCCCCUAUUUGCACCCAGCCCUUACAUGAUAUAGAAGAAAUUAAUAAUAAGAUGGAUAAGGAGAUAGAAGAACUAAACAAAGAUUAUAUAAUCAGAUAUGGCUUUUCUACAUUUUUUCUGUUGCGCUUCCCAAACCAUAGAUACAUAUAUAGAUGGAGAUGGAGUUCUUGCCAUUUAUAGGCCCAGCAAACAAUGGUUUUGACCAAAUUAUUUACACCGUCUUUCUAUCCUAAUUUCUUACUCCAUUUUAGAUGAUAUAUUCCCCUGUUAUUGCAACAACAAACACUUAUUUUGUAUUUUAAGAUCAUUUUUUAAUAUCUUAAAAUACAAAAACCCGAUUACCGGAUUUUAUUGAUAAUAAUAUCCAUUCAUCAACUAGUUGCAAUCUGCUGAAUACCAACGGCCAUAGGGUUCUUUCAAUGUGCAUUUGUAAGCAUAGGCACCCCAUGCUAAGUUUUUUUCAUUGCCAACAUUAAAGUAUAAUUAUAAAAUAUUAAGCCAUGAAUCAAAAAUCACUCUUUUCAAAAAAUACUUGUUGUAAACAAGGACAUAAAGAAUCGAAAGAUAAUAAUAAGCAAACGAAAGAAAUGUAAUGGCGUUUAGUGGCGAAUUUGUGAAGAAUUGAAAGGGGAUUGUAGGUGAAAGGAAAUUUGGAAAAACGCCGAACAUCACAAUCAAAUACAAACCAACUUUCAAGCACGAAAUUCAUACUAUGAUACCAUCUUAAAAUUUAAUGUACAGGACUAAGGAGUGACAAGGAACCCUACAGAGUACCUACAGGUUUUUCAGAGCCAUCGUAUAUAAAGCUCAACCCUAUUUGCAUCCAGCCCUUACAUGAUAUAGAAGAAAAUAAUAAGAAGAUGGGUAAGCAGAUAGAAUAACUAAACCUAGAUUAUAUAUCCGAAUAUGACUUUUCUACGUUUUUUCAGUUGCGCUUCCCAAACCCUAGAUACACAUAGAUGGAGAUGGAGUUCUUGCCAUUUAUAAGCCCAGUCAACAAUGGUUUUGACCAAAUUAUUUCCACCGCCUUUCUAUCCUAAUUUCUUAUUCCAUUUUAGAUGAUAAAUUCCAAUGUUUUUGCAACAAAAAAAAAACACUUAUUUUUGUAUUUUAAGAUCUUAAAAUACAAAAACCUGAUUACCGGAUUUUAUUGAUUGAAUAUUCAUUCAUCAACUAGUUUCAAUCUGUUGAAUACCAACGGCCAUAUGGUUCUUUCAAUGUGCAUUUGUAAGCAUAGGCAUGCUAAGCUUUUUCCAUUACCAACACUAAAGUAUAAUUACAAAAUAUGAAACCAUGAAUCAAAAAUCACUCUUUUCAAAAAAUACUUGUUGUAAACAAGGACAUAAAGAAUCGAAAGAUAAUAAUAAGCUAACGAAAGAAAUGAAAUGGCGUUUGGAGGAGAAUUGUGACAAAUUGAAAGGGGAUUGUAGGCGAAAGGAAAUUUGGAAAAGCGUCGAACAUCACAAUCAAAUACAAAUCAACUUUCAAGCACGAACUUCGUACUAUGAAACCAUCUUAAAAUUUAAUGUAUAGGGCUAAGGAAUGACAAGGCACCCUACAGAGUACCUACAGGUUUUUCAGAACCAUCGUAUAUAAAGGUCUCCCCUAUUUGCAUCCAGCCCUUGCAUGAUAUAGAAGAAAGUAAUAAGAAUAUGGUUAAGGAGAUAGAAGAACUAAAUAUAGAUUAUAUAAUCGGAUAUGGCAUUUCUACGUUUUUUCAGCUAUGUUUCCCAAACCCUAGAUACUUACAUAGAUGGAGAUGGAGUUCUUGCCAUUUAUAGGCCCAGCAAACAAUGGUUUUGACCAAAUCAUUUCCACCGUCUUUCUAUCCUAAUUUCUUACUCCAUUUUAGAUAAUAUAUUCCCCUUUUAUUACAACAAAAAAACACUUAUUUUUGUAUUUUAAGAUCAUAAAAUACAAAAACCUGAUUACCGGAUUUUAUUGAUUAUAAUAUCCAUUCAUCAACUAGCUUCAAUCUGCUGAAUACCAACGGCCAUAUGGUUCUUUCAAUGUGCAUUUGUAAGCAUAGGCACCCCCAUGCUAAACUUUUUGCAUUACCAACACUAAAGUAUAAUUACAAAAUAUGAAACCAUGAAUCAAAAAUCACUCUUUUCAAAAAAUACUUGUUGUAAACAAGGACAUAAAGAAACGAAAGAUAAUAAGCAAACGAAAUAAAUGUAAUUGCGUUUGGAGACGAAAGGAAAUUUGGCAAAGCGCCAAACAUCACAAUCAAAUACAAACCAACUUUCAAGCACGAAAUACGUACUAUGAUACCAUCUUAAAAUUUUAUGUAUAGGGCUAAAGGAAUGACAAGUGACAAGGCACCCUACAGGUUUUUCAAAGCCAUCGUAUAUAAAGCUCUUCCCUAUUUGCAUCCAGCCCUUACAUGAUAUAGAAGAAAGUAAUAAGAUGGUUAAGAAGAUAGAAGAACUAAACCUAGAUUAUAUAAUCGGAUAUUGCUUUUCAACGUUUUUUCGACUGCGCUUCCCAAACCCUAUAUACAUUCAUAAAUGCAGAUGGAGUUCUUGCCAUUUAUAGGCCCAGCAAACAAUUGUUUUGACCAAAUUAUUUCCACCGUCUUUCUAUCCUAAUUUCUUACUCCAUUUUAGAUGAUAUAUUGCCCUAUUAUUGCAACAACAAAAAAACACUUAUUUUUGUAUUUUAAGAUCAUUUUUUAAGAUCUUAAAAUACAAAAACCCGAUUACCGGAUUUUAUUGAUUAUAAUAUCCAUUCAUCAACUAGCUUCAAUCUGCUGAAUACCAACGGCCAUAUGAUUUUUUCAAUGUGCAUUUGUAAGUAUAGGCACCCCAUGUUAAGCCUUUUUCAUUACCAACACUAAAGUAUAAUUACAACAAAUGAAACCAUGGAUCAAAAAUCACGCUUUUCAAAAAAUACUUGUUGUAAACAAGGACAUAAAGAAUCGAAAGAUAAUAAUAAGCAAACGAAAGAAAUGAAAUGGCGUUUGGAGGAGAAUUGUGACAAAUUGAAAGGGGAUUGUAGGCGAAAGGAAAUUUGGAAAAGCGUCGAACAUCACAAUCAAAUACAAAUCAACUUUGAAGCACGAAAUUCGUACUAUGAUACCAUUUUAAAAUUUAAUGUAUAGAGCUAAGGAAUGACAAGCCAUCGUAUAUAAAGCUCUCCCCUAUUUGCAUCGAGCCCUUACAUGAUAUAGAAGAAAGUAAUAAGAAUAUGGUUAAGAAGAUAGAAGAACUAAACCUAGAUUAUAUAAUCGGAUAUGAUUUUUCUAUGUUUUUUUGGCUACGCUUCCCAAACCCUAGAUGCAUUAAUAAAUGCAGAUGGUUUUGACCAAAUUAUUUCCAUCGUCUUUCUAUCCUAAUUUCUUACUCCAUUUUAGAUGAUAUAUUCCCCUUUUAUUGGAACAACAAAAAAACACUUAUUUUUGUAUUUUAAGAUCAUUUUUUAAGAUCUUAAAUUACAAAAACUCGAUUACCGAAUUUUACUGAUUAUGAUAUCCAUUCAUCAACUAGUUUCAAUCUGCUGAAUACCAACGGCCAUAUGGUUCUUUCAAUGUGCAUUUGGAAGUAUAGGCACCCCAUGCUAAGCCUUUUUCAUUACCAACACUAAAGUAUAAUUACAAAAUAUGAAACCAUGAAUCAAAAAUCACACUUUUCAAAAAAUACUUGUAAACAAGGACAUAAACAAUCGAAAGAUAAUAAUAAGCAAACGAAAGAAAUGUAAUGGCGUUUGGAGGCGAAUUUGUGAAGAGUUAAAAGGAGAUUGUAGGCGAAAGGAAACUUAGCAAGGCGCCGGACAUUACAAUCAAAUACAAAACCAACUUUCAAGCACGAAAUCCGUACUAUGAUACCAAUUUAAAAUUUAAUGUAUAUGGCUAGGGAAUGACAAGGCACCCUACAGAGUACCUGCAGGUUUUUCAGAGCCAUCGUAUAUAAAGCUCUCCCCUAUUUGCAUCCAGCCCUUACAUGAUAUAGAAGAAAAUAAUAAGAAGAUGGUUAAGGAGAUAUAAGAACUAAACCUAGAUUAUAUAAUCGGAUAUGGCAUUUUUACGCUUUUUUUCUGUUGCUCUUCCCAAACCCUAGAUACAUACAUAGAUGGAGGUGAACUUCUUGCCAUUUAUAGGCCCAGCAAACAAUGGUUUUGACCAAAUUAUUUCCACUGUCUUUCUAUCCCAAUUUCUUACUCCAUUUUAGAUGAUAUAUUCCCCUGUUAUUGCAACAACAAAAAACACUUAUUUUUGUAUUUUAAGAUCAUUUUUUAAGAUCUUAAAAUACAAAAACCCGAUUACCGAAUUUUAUUGAUUAUAAUAUCCAUUCAUCAAUUAGCUUCAAUCCGCUGAAUACCAACGGCCAUAUGGUUCUUUCAAUGUGCAUUUAGAAGUAUAGGCACCCCAUGCUAAGCCUUUUUCAUUACCAACACUAAAGUAUAAUUACAAAAUAUGAAACCAUGAAUCAAAAAUCACACUUUUCAAAAAAUACUUGUAAACAAGGACAUAAACAAUCGAAAGAUAAUAAUAAGCAAACGAAAGAAAUGUAAUGGCGUUUGGAGGCGAAUUUGUGAAGAGUUAAAAGGAGAUUGUAGGCGAAAGGAAACUUAGCAAGGCGCCGGACAUUACAAUCAAAUACAAAACCAACUUUCAAGCACGAAAUCCGUACUAUGAUACCAAUUUAAAAUUUAAUGUAUAUGGCUAGGGAAUGACAAGGCACCCUACAGAGUACCUGCAGGUUUUUCAGAGCCAUCGUAUAUAAAGCUCUCCCCUAUUUGCAUCCAGCCCUUACAUGAUAUAGAAGAAAAUAAUAAGAAGAUGGUUAAGGAGAUAUAAGAACUAAACCUAGAUUAUAUAAUCGGAUAUGGCAUUUUUACGCUUUUUUUCUGUUGCUCUUCCCAAACCCUAGAUACAUACAUAGAUGGAGGUGAACUUCUUGCCAUUUAUAGGCCCAGCAAACAAUGGUUUUGACCAAAUUAUUUCCACUGUCUUUCUAUCCCAAUUUCUUACUCCAUUUUAGAUGAUAUAUUCCCCUGUUAUUGCAACAACAAAAAACACUUAUUUUUGUAUUUUAAGAUCAUUUUUUAAGAUCUUAAAAUACAAAAACCCGAUUACCGAAUUUUAUUGAUUAUAAUAUCCAUUCAUCAAUUAGCUUCAAUCCGCUGAAUACCAACGGCCAUAUGGUUCUUUCAAUGUGCAUUUGUAAGCAUAGGCACCCCAUGCUAAGCCUUUUUCAUUACCAACACUAAAGUAUAAUUACAAAAUAUGAAACCAUGAAUCAAAAAUCACUCUUUUCAAAAAAUACUUGUUGUAAACAAGGACAUAAAGAAUUGAAAGAUAAUAAUAAGCAAACGAAAGAAAUGUAAUUGCGUUUAUAGGCGAAUUUGUGACGUAUUGAAAAGGGAUUGUAGGCAAAAGGAAAUUUGGCAAAGCGUCGAACAUCACAAUCAAAUACAAACCAACUUUCAAGCACAAAAUUUGUACUAUGAUACCAUUUUAAAAUUUAAUGUAUAGGGCUAAGGAAUGACAAGGCACCCUACAAAGUACCUGCAUGUUCUUCAGAGCCAUCGUAUAUAAAACUCUCCCCUAUUUGCAUCCAGCCCUUACAUGAUAUACAAAAAGUAAUAAGAAGAUGGUUAAAAAGAUAGAAAAACUAAACCUAGAUUAUAUAAUCGGAUGACUUUUCUAUGUUUUUUCAGUUGCGCUUUCCAAACCCUAGAUACAUUUAUAAAUGUAGAUGAAGAUGGAGUUCUUGCCAUUUAUAGGCCAAGCAAACAAUGGUUUUGACCAAAUUAUUUCCACCUGCCUUUUUCUAUCCUAAUUUCUUACUCCAUUUUAGAUGAUAUAUUUCCCUUUUAUUGCAACAACAAAAAAACACUUAUUUUUGUAUUUUAAGAUCAUUUUUUAAGAUCUUAAAUUACAAAAACCCGAUUGCCGAAUUUUACUGAUUAUAAUAUCCAUUCAUCAACUAGUUUCAAUCUGCUGAAUAGCAACGGCCAUAUGGUUCUUUCAAUGUGCAUUUGUAAGCAUAGGCACCCUAUGCUAAGCCUUUUUCAUUACUAAUACUAAUGGAUAAAUUACAAAAUAUGAAUUCAUGAAUCAAAAAUCACACUUUUCAAAAAUUACUUGUUGUAAACAAGAACAUAAACAAUCGAAAGAUAAUAAUAAACAAACGAAAGAAAUGUAAUGGCGUUUGGAGGCGAAUUUGUGAAAAAUUGAAAAGGGAUUGUAGGCGAAAAGAAAUUUGGCAAAGCGUCAAACAUUACAAUCAAAUACAAACCAACUUUCAAGCACGAAAUCCGUACUAUGAUACCAUUUUAAAAUUUAAUGUAUAGGCCUAAGGAAUGACAAGGCACCCUACAGAAUAACAGCAGGUUUUUCAGAGCCAUCGUAUAUAAAGCUCCCCUAUUUGCAUACAGCCCUUACAUGAUAUAGAAGAAAGUAAUAAUAAAAUGGUUAAGGAGAUAGAAGAACUAAACCUAGAUUAUAUAAUCGGAUAUGGCUUUUUUACGUUUUUUCUUCUGCGCUUCCCAAACCCUAGAUACAUGCAUAGAUGGAGAUGGAGUUCUUACCAUUUAUAGGCCCAGCAAACAAUGGUUUUGAUCAAAUUAUUUCCACCGUCUUUCUAUCCUAAGUUCUUACUCCAUUUUAGAUGAUAUAUUCCAAUGUUAUUACAACAACAAAAAAC